rnacentral:rRNA from 1 species
CCCUUAGAUGUUCUGGGCCGCACGCGCGCUACACUGACGAUGGCAACGAGUUUUUCCUUCGCCGAAAGGUGUGGGUAAUCUUUUGAAACAUCGUCGUGCUGGGGAUAGAUCAUUGCAAUUUUUGAUCUUGAACGGGGAAUUCCUAGUAAGCGCGAGUCAUCAGCUCGCGUUGAUUACGUCCCUGCCCUUUGUACACACCGCCCGUCGCUACUACCGAUUGAAUGGUUUAGUGAGGACUCCUGAUUGGCGCCGCCGCCCCGGCAACGGAGCAGCGGACUGCCGAAAAGUUGUUCAAACUUGAUCAUUUAGAGGAAGUAAAAGUCGUAACA